CAGAGGAAAGAGCAGGAGGAUAGAAAAGAAGGGAGAGCCUAAGAGGUGGGCAGAUGGAAAAGGAGUGAGGGAAGAAAGAAGAGCAGAAGAGUAGAGCCAAUGCAGAAGAAAGAGGAGUGAGGAAGCAGGGAAACAUACAGCAGAAGAGAAAAGCAGAUGCAGGUGAAAGAGCAGUGGUGAGAUGCAAUGGAAACCAUCAGAAGAGUGAGGAUACAAGGAGGAAAGAACAGAAGAGGAGCACAGCUGCCCGAGAAUGAGCAGUGAGAAUACAGGGAAGAAAGAGGAGGAGGAGAGCAGAUGCAGAAGAAAAGAGACGUCACGUUACAGGGAAGAAAAGCAGGGCAGAUGAAGUACGGAGAGGAAGCAGGGGAAAAAAACACUGAAGAGCAAGGAUAGAGAUGAAAGAGCAGUGAGGAUACACAGAGGAUAGAACAGCAGAAGAGAAGCAGAAGAGAAAAAACAGGAAAAGAGUGAGAAUGCAGACGGAAAAGCAGGGAGAAUACAGGGAAGAACCAAGAGCCUAAGAGAAGUGCAAAUGCAAAAGCAAGCGAGGCUACAGGGAAGAAAGGACAGCAGAAGGGGAGUGCAGGUGCAGAUCCCCCAAACACAGCACUCCCUGCCCGCUAGGGUUGCGG
rnacentral:lncRNA from 1 species